CCAUCUUGUCCGAGAGGUGGGGCUGGACUAAACCAAAUCCCAGGCAGGCGGGGAGGGAAAGCUAUUUGCAAGGACGUAGCUGAAGGGCGUGCCAACCGUGAGGCUUUGCCCGGCGGGUGAUUUGCGAAGGCAGGAGCCGUUUGGUGACCAGGAAGAGGACGAAGGGCGCUUGUAAGGCUGCAGGCGUCGACACGCGUCGACUGAUUCACACGUUCCAAAUUUGAGAAGAGCUUUGGUGCGAUCAAACCGAAGAGCCCCCUCAUCCAGCGUCUGUGGCCAGCCUAUUAGAGACCCGAAAGCAGGCCAUCAGGUUUUAGGGAUUUGGUUAAAGAGCAAGAUGCUGAACCAGAUGCGCCUUGCAUCGAGCAGAGCUUUUCUUUUGUUCUUAAAAGUGCCUUAAGCAGCACCGCCUUAGCCAGAGACUGUAUAAACCCCAAGAAUUCUGGGAAUUGUAGUUUGAUAGUCACACAAAAUAACAACCCAAUGAUAGAUUGGAAGAUAAGAGAGCCAGUUGGCCCUGGAACAUCUGGCAGAUUUGACUGAAUAAUUGGACCGAGAAGAAGGCCACGCAGUGCCAACAGCAACAGAAUGCCCUGGGGCCAGAAAGAGAGCGAAUGUCAUUGAAUGUGGGGGAGAAAAGAGAGAGAAGUCUCCUCAGAGAAACUGCUCAUUUCUCUCUGCUGAUUUUGAGUCACAAGUACAAAACAGAAAAUGCAUACAGGGUUCUGACAAACCACUUGAUGUGUACUGCUGGAUGUGAGACCUUUACCAGGCACAGAUAUUGUUGUUCUGAAGGCUUACUUAGAAAAUAAAAUGUAAUUUACUGUACUGUAGGCCAUGCAAGUGAAGUGCAUGUCCAAAUCCCUUUUUCUUUCUUUCUUUUGAGCUUGCAGCUAAGUACGUGAAAAGGUUAAACACCUAAUUAAAUGUGGAAAACUAGUUUGACCACUGAUCUGUAGGAAAAGUGAUUUAAGCUGCAAUCUUCAAACCACUUUAUUUUAAAUAGUCCCAAAGAGGUCACUGGAGUUAAGUAGUUUGAUGACCACAGUCUUAGCAACAUAAGUGAAAGUAUUAAUGGAGCAACUGUCAGAACGACAAAAACCACCCACACUCAGAUUUACCAUGCUUGUAUGAUGUGGUUGGUAGCAGGGUAACCAAAUGCCAGAGAGGAUGGGGCCCCUUAAACUUUUAAUGGUUGUGUGGUAGGGAGAAUUUUGACAAGUGCAGCUUGUCAUGCAGGGAUGAGAAAAGCACCACCUCUUGAAAUUAAAACUUGAGGGUGGCCAAAUGCAAAACAUCUCUAUCUGAUUAGCAGCAGCACAUCUGCUGAUCACUGGGAGCACUUCCAGGCAACCUAUUUAUUGAUAAUUCACUUUCCACAAGUUUGCAGGGAGGUUAGAUGAUGCCAGCUAUUUAUUGUGGUGAGGUUAUACGGCAUCACAUAAACCCAGUGUUAUUUCACACUUUCCAGUGCAUUUCCAUCACUUUCCUUAUGGCUAAAAGUCCAGGUUUGUUGCUCAAGAGCAGAGAUGGGUGAACUCGUCAAUUUCAAUUUCUCUUAAAUCCAGCUCUCCACAUUUCCACAUCAUUUUGUGACUUUUUUUUACUCCACAUGAAAAUACAUCAGCAUUUGAUGGAAAUCUCUCCCAAUACACAUGUUUUUGCAAGCUAUUUUCUCUGAUGUGUUCUGUAUGAUACAUUUUAAUGCACAUUUUACCUAGUAUAUGCAUUUUUGUACACAUUACUUGGUUGGAGAACUGCACUGCAGAAUUCAGAGAUGUGCAGCUUUCAAAGGAUUACUGUGCUACAGAUUGCAUAUUGUUUUAGCAAGUGUGAAUUAGGUAGGCUCACCGUUAAAUGCGAUCUGAAUCAAAUCUCUUCCCCAACCGUACCCAAGAGUUCCAAAUCAGCUUGAAAUUGUGCAACCUGAAUUUGCUGGUAUGUGAUUGAAUCCUGCCUGAAAAUAGAGACAGUCUGGAAGUUCCCUGGGACUCUUGAGUUUGGUUCUGGGUCAGGAAUGUAGUCAUUUGUAGUUGGGAAUGGUACUGGAGUGGGGAUUCCAAUGGAAUUGUGUAAAAAGGCUGAAGGAGAUGGGGCACUGGCGACCAUCUAAUAUUGUUGCGGUAUUACCUUUAUGUGGUGGUGCAGAAGGGAAGACAGUAGUAUGCUGGGUGGAGCAGUAGCUUUGAUUUGAACCACACUGGGAACUGUAUAAGAAAUAAAGCCAACUCUGUAAAAUGAAAAUGCAUUUUCAGGACUUGGAAUCUGGUUGAAAUCUUCCUGAGCUUUGGUUUCUCUUCAGUCCCUUUGCCCAUAUUAUUUGGUGGUGGAUUUUGAAAGGACACUCUGGGGUUUAACUCCCCAGUAGAUUCAGUGAAAGCUACAGGAAGAUGGUCCAUUCGAAGCUGUCACCUGAAAUUGAUGGGUUACCAACUUGGAUGCCUUUAAAAGAGGUUUAGAUAAAUUCCCUGAGUGUAAUGCCAUCAGUGGCUACUGGCCAUGAAGGGUAUCAUUGGGAGCUGUUUGCAACCACAAUAUUAGAAGCUCAGCUUGAGGGUAUACCAUGGAUGAAGAAAGGUACCACCAGGACCAAGAGGAACCCUGCAUGGUUAAGAAGCAGAGUUAAAGAUGCUAUUAAAGGUGAGAAACUGUCCUAUGCAAACUGAAGUCUUGUCCAAACGUAGAAAACAAAUACCACACUGGGAAUCAUUAGGAAACAGAUUGAAAAUGAAACAAUAUCAGAAUGCCGUUACACAAGUCUAUGGUGCAACCACUCUUAGAAAACUGUGUACAGGCAACACACAAUUUUCACUGGAGUUGUGUUCUGGAUUAUCACUUGCGAUGGUGGAGUGCGCACUACACCCCAUUAUGCCUCUGCUUCCAUUCCACCCCUUUUUCUGGCCACUUCCAGGUUACCGCAAGGUGUGCAUGCACAGUCAAGUGUCAAUUGGACAUGCUUGAAUCAGUUGCUGCCUUUACAGAUCUGGUCACCUCACCAUAUAUAAACCAGAAGAAAUGUCCAUUCUUUUGUAUCCACUAAUAUAUAGUCCACACUAUACUCUAAAAAGCCUGGACAAAGACCAGAAUAGCCAGAUCAAAAAUUUUAUGUGUACAAAUUUUAGUAUGGUUUGGUAGAAAGAAGUGAGGAAAGGAGGAAGAGGAAACAAAAAGCAUAGGUGCCAGAUCUCUAAGUUUUAUGGGAUGGGAGGUGGGGUUGAACUUUUUUUAGUAAAAAUCCAUUCUAGCCUCUUACAAAUAUAAAUAUCAUAUCAGUAUUGACCUUCAGUAGUAGCCUCUCAUAUGCCUUUUUCAUGUCUUGACCUGUCUAAAUAAAUGGUGUUAUUUUAAGCAGGAGCAGUUGAGCAUUUGCUGGAUAUCCUCCUUCCUCAGCCCCCCCCUCAAUUCAUGCUGCUUCAGUUUCCCCUCCCAUACCACUUUUCUUUAUACAGUGGGAUUAACCCAUCAAGUCAAAUGGGGGGGGGUAAAGGAGGGUAAUGAUAGUGCACUCCAGUGAGCAUUGGAGAGGCCCCCAUUCAUGGGUCAACAAAACCAGGGAAGAAGCUUGGACUUAAUCAGCCAAGGAGUGCUCCAGCAUGGCAAACAAUUAACAUCAAAGACCCGGGAAAGGGUGAAAAGUGAAAGAAAAGCUUGGAAAUCCAAUUCCUUUUUAUUUUUUAAAAAUGGGAGGGAGCCUAAGAAAAAAGUAAACAGAUGGGUGAUUGGUUAGUAGAGAUUACCUUGUAGGCUUGUAAAGGGCAAAAUAUAAAGAUCAAAACUAUGGUAGGUAAGAAGGUAGGAAUUUGGAGUGAUCACCUGCCCAUUUUGAAAUACAUGCAUGAUCAGGUUGCUUUCC